GCUACUUACGCCGAGGACUUGGAAAUUUUGCCAGGUGGUGUGUAAAACCUGGCGAAGGUUUCGUCAGACCUUGGUAUAGGGACGA